UACGUAGGGUGCAAGCGUUAAUCGGAAUUACUGGGCGUAAAGCGUGCGCAGGCGGUUUUGUAAGUCUGUCGUGAAAUCCCCGGGCUUAACCUGGGAAUUGCGAUGGUGACUGCAAGGCUAGAGUUUGGCAGAGGGGGGUAGAAUUCCACGUGUAGCAGUGAAAUGCGUAGAGAUGUGGAGGAACACCGAUGGCGAAGGCAGCCCCCUGGGUCAAAACUGACGCUCAUGCACGAAAGCGUGGGGAGCAAACAGG
rnacentral:rRNA from 1 species